GACGAACGCUGGCGGCGUGCUUAACACAUGCAAGUCGAACGGUAAGGCCCUUCGGGGUACACGAGUGGCGAACGGGUGAGUAACACGUGGGUGAUCUGCCCUGCACUUCGGGAUAAGCCUGGGAAACUGGGUCUAAUACCGGAUAGGACCACUGCCUGCAUGGGUGGUGGUGGAAAGCUUUUGCGGUGUGGGAUGGGCCCGCGGCCUAUCAGCUUGUUGGUGGGGUGAUGGCCUACCAAGGCGACGACGGGUAGCCGGCCUGAGAGGGUGACCGGCCACACUGGGACUGAGAUACGGCCCAGACUCCUACGGGAGGCAGCAGUGGGGAAUAUUGCACAAUGGGCGCAAGCCUGAUGCAGCGACGCCGCGUGAGGGAUGAUGGCCUUCGGGUUGUAAACCUCUCUCAGCACCGACGAAGCGCAAGUGACGGUAGGUGCAGAAGAAGGACCGGCCAACUACGUGCCAGCAGCCGCCGUAA
rnacentral:rRNA from 1 species